AUUGAACGCUGGCGGCAGGCCUAACACAUGCAAGUCGAACGGUAACAGGAAGCAGCUUGCUGCUUUGCUGACGAGUGGCGGACGGGUGAGUAAUGUCUGGGAAACUGCCCGAUGGAGGGGGAUAACUACUGGAAACGGUAGCUAAUACCGCAUAACGUCGCAAGACCAAAGAGGGGGACCUUAGGGCCUCUUGCCAUCGGAUGUGCCCAGAUGGGAUUAGCUAGUAGGUGGGGUAACGGCUCACCUAGGCGACGAUCCCUAGCUGGUCUGAGAGGGUGACCAGGCACACUGGAACUGAGACACGGUCCAGACUCCUACGGGAGGCAGCAGUGGGGAAUAUUGCACAAUGGGCGCAAGCCUGAUGCAGCCAUGCCGCGUGUAUGAAGAAGGCCUUCGGGUUGUAAAGUACUUUCAGCGGGGAGGAAGGGAGUAAAGUUAAUACCUUUGCUCAUUGACGUUACCCGCAGAAGAAGCACCGGCUAACUCCGUG
rnacentral:rRNA from 1 species